CCCUUAGAUGUCCUGGGCCGCACGUGCGUUACACUGAUGCAUUCAACGAGCUUAUAACCUUGGCCGAGAGGCCUGGGCAAUCUUGUUAACGUGCAUCGUGAUAGGGAUAGAUUAUUGAAAUUAUUAAUCUUGAACGAGGAAUUCCUAGUAAACGCAGAUCAUCAAUCUGCAUUGAUUACGUCCCUGCCCUUUGUACACACCGCCCGUCGCACCUACCGAUUGGAUGGUCCGGUGAAGCCUCGGGAUUGUGGUUCUUGCCGCUUUAUUGUGGCGUGACCGCGAGAACUUGUCUAAACCUUAUCAUCUAGAGGAAGGUGAAGUCGUAACA
rnacentral:rRNA from 1 species